AAUUCCUGCGGUAGAUCCCAACAGGUACUUUUAGAACCUGAGUGGUAGAGCCCAGACAAGUAUGAAUUUUGAAAAAUGAGAAUUCCUGCGGUAGAUCCCAACAGGUACUAUUAGAACCUGACUGGUAGAGCCCAGACGGGUAUACAUUUGAAAAAUGAGAAUUCCUGCGGUAGAUCCCAACAGGUACCAAAACUAACUUAAUUAUCACCUUUAAAUAAAACAAAGCCUUAAUAAUUUAUAAGAUGUAUGAAUGAAUUGGGGGAAAAUAAUUUCCCUGAAAUUAAGUAGGCCAAAUUGAAUGAAAAACAUAAAACUAAAACAAACAAAACACAUAUUGUUAUGAGUAGCCCC
rnacentral:lncRNA from 1 species